AGCGAACGUUUGCGGCGGGCCUAACACAUGCAAGUCGAACGCACUAGCAAUAGUGAGUGGCGCACGGGUGCGUAACACGUGGGUAAUCAACCCUUCAGCCUGGGAUAACGACUCGAAAGGGUCGCUAAUACCGGAUACGGCGCGAGAGGCUUCGGCUUCUCACGAGAAAGCCACGCAAGGGGCACUGAAGGCGAGCCUGCGGCCCAUCAGCUAGUUGGUGAGGUAAGAGCUCACCAAGGCUAAGACGGGUAGCUGGUCUGAGAGGAUGAUCAGCCACACUGGAACUGAGACACGGUCCAGACUCCUACGGGAGGCAGCAGUGGGGAAUAUGCGCAAUGGCGAAAGCCUGACGCAGCCACGCCGCGUGAGCGAUGAAGGCCUUCGGGUCGUAAACGGCUCUGUGGGAGAGACGAAG
rnacentral:rRNA from 1 species